GACGAACGCUGGCGGCGUGCUUAACACAUGCAAGUCGAACGGAAAGGCCCUGCUUUUGUGGUGUGCUCGAGUGGCGAACGGGUGAGUAACACGUGAGUAACCUGCCCUUGACUUUGGGAUAACUUCAGGAAACUGGGGCUAAUACCGGAUAGGAGCUCCUGCUGCAUGGUGGGGGUUGGAAAGUUUCGGCGGUUGGGGAUGGACUCGCGGCUUAUCAGCUUGUUGGUGGGGUAGUGGCUUACCAAGGCUUUGACGGGUAGCCGGCCUGAGAGGGUGACCGGCCACAUUGGGACUGAGAUACGGCCCAGACUCCGACGGGAGGCAGCAGUGGGGAAUAUUGCACAAUGGGCGGAAGCCUGAUGCAGCAACGCCGCGUGCGGGAUGACGGCCUUCGGGUUGUAAACCGCUUUCGCCUGUGACGAAGCGUGAGUGACGGUAAUGGGUAAAGAAGCACCGGCUAACUACGUG
rnacentral:rRNA from 1 species